ACGACAGUUGGAAACGACUGCUAAUACCGCAUAAGACCACAGUACCGCAUGGUACAGUGAUCAAAGGAUUUAUUCGCUGAAGGAUGGCUUCGCGUCCGAUUAGGUAGUUGGUGAGGUAACGGCUCACCAAGGCGACGAUCAGUAGCCGGCUUGAGGGAGUGAACGGCCACAUUGGGACUGAGACACGGCCCAAACUCCUACGGGAGGCAGCAUG
rnacentral:rRNA from 1 species